rnacentral:rRNA from 1 species
UACGAAGGGGGCUAGCGUUACUCGGAUUGACUGGGCGUAAAGGGCGCGUAGGCGGUUCGUACAGUCAGACGUGAAAUUCCUGGGCUCAACCUGGGGGCUGCGUUUGAUACGUGCGGACUUGAGUUCGGAAGAGGGUCGUGGAAUUCCCAGUGUAGAGGUGAAAUUCGUAGAUAUUGGGAAGAACACCGGUGGCGAAGGCGGCGACCUGGUCCGAUACUGACGCUGAGGCGCGAAAGCGUGGGGAGCAAACAGG